rnacentral:sRNA from 1 species
UUGACAGUUUUGGAUGGUGAAUACCCCUGCUUAUACAGAGAACUGAUACUGGACAGGUGGUGGCCGUUCAGGUUCACCUCCACUGUCUUGAUAAUGUGCCUCCAAUCUGACCUGAUGGACACCUGUAGAAAUGGAGUGAGUUCAGUCUCCAGGUUAAUUCAGUCUUGGCCUCU